GACUGAGACACGGCCCAGACUCCUACGGGAGGCAGCAGUGGGGAAUAUUGCACAAUGGGCGAAAGCCUGAUGCAGCGACGCCGCGUGAGGGAUGACUGCCUUCGGGUUGUAAACCUCUUUCAGCAGGGACGAAGCGCAAGUGACGGUACCUGCAGAAGAAGCACCGGCCAACUACGUGCCAGCAGCCGCGGUAAUACGUAGGGUGCAAGCGUUGUCCGGAAUUAUUGGGCGUAAAGAGCUCGUAGGCGGUCUGUC
rnacentral:rRNA from 1 species